UACGGAGGGUGCAAACGUUGCUCGGAAUUAUUGGGCGUAAAGCGCACGUAGGCGGACUAUCAAGUCGGAUGUGAAAUCCCUCGGCUUAACCGAGGACGUGCAUUCGAUACUGAUGGCCUUGAGUACGAAAGAGGAUCGCGGAAUUCCCGGUGUAGAGGUGAAAUUCGUAGAUAUCGGGAGGAACACCAGUGGCGAAGGCGGCGAUCUGGGUCGAUACUGACGCUGAGGUGCGAAAGCGUGGGGAGCAAACAGG
rnacentral:rRNA from 1 species